UACGUAGGCAGCGAGCGUUGUUCGGAGUUACUGGGCGUAAAGGGUGUGUAGGCGGUCCCUUAAGUUUGGUGUGAAAUCUCCCGGCUCAACUGGGAGGGUGCGCCGGAUACUGAGGGGCUAGAGUGCGGGAAGGGAAAGUGGAAUUCCUGGUGUAGCGGUGAAAUACGUAGAUAUCAGGAGGAACACCGGUGGUGCAAACGGCUUUCUGGACCGUAACUGACGCUGAGACACGAAAGCGUGGGGAGCGAACAGG
rnacentral:rRNA from 1 species